rnacentral:rRNA from 1 species
GACGAACGCUGGCGGCGUGCUUAACACAUGCAAGUCGAACGGAAAGGCCCUGCUUUUGUGGGGUGCUCGAGUGGCGAACGGGUGAGUAACACGUGAGUAACCUGCCCUUGACUUUGGGAUAACUUCAGGAAACUGGGGCUAAUACCGGAUAGGAGCUCCUGCUGCAUGGUGGGGGUUGGAAAGUUUCGGCGGUUGGGGAUGGACUCGCGGCUUAUCGCUUGUUGGUGGGGUAGUGGCUUACCAAGGCUUUGACGGGUAGCCGGCCUGAGAGGGUGACCGGCCACAUUGGGACUGAGAUACGGCCCAGACUCCUACGGGAGGCAGCAGUGGGGAAUAUUGCACAAUGGGCGGAAGCCUGAUGCAGCAACGCCGCGUGCGGGAUGACGGCCUUCGGGUUGUAAACCGCUUUCGCCUGUGACGAAGCGUGAGUGACGGUAAUGGGUAAAGAAGCACCGGCUAACUACGUG